UACGUAGGGUGCGAGCGUUGUCCGGAAUUAUUGGGCGUAAAGAGCUUGUAGGUGGUUUGUCGCGUUGUUCGUGAAAACUCACAGCUUAACUGUGGGCGUGCGGGCGAUACGGGCAGACUUGAGUACUGCAGGGGAGACUGGAAUUCCUGGUGUAGCGGUGGAAUGCGCAGAUAUCAGGAGGAACACCGGUGGCGAAGGCGGGUCUCUGGGCAGUAACUGACGCUGAGGAGCGAAAGCGUGGGGGAGCGAACAGG
rnacentral:rRNA from 1 species